rnacentral:rRNA from 1 species
UACGGAGGGGGCUAGCGUUGUUCGGAAUUACUGGGCGUAAAGCGCACGUAGGCGGACUGUUAAGUCGGGGGUGAAAUCCUGGGGCUCAACCUCAGAAUUGCCUCCGAUACUGGCAGUCUCGAGUUCGGGAGAGGUGAGUGGAACUGCGAGUGUAGAGGUGAAAUUCGUAGAUAUUCGCAAGAACACCAGUGGCGAAGGCGGCUCACUGGCCCGAUACUGACGCUGAGGUGCGAAAGCGUGGGGAGCAAACAGG